GCCCAGUACUAAUGGUGAUGGACAGAAUUCAUUUGCCAGAUAAUAGGACCCAAAAUGACAAAUCUAUAAUUUAUUACAGGAAAAGAAAAUAGGAUAGUAUCAGCAUUAAAGUACAGAUAUGCAUCAUACCCAAAGGCUGCCUCAUAAGAAGAGGUCUGGAGAGGACAAUUUUGAGCACUAACUGUCAGGGAGGGCAGUAGGGACACACUCUCUUGGAUCAGGGACCAACAGUAUGAGCAUGGAACACCUCAGAACCAGAGGGCUCAAAAUGGAGCCUCAGCUGGGGUUUCUUACACCCUGCUGUUCACACAGGCGUAUUUUUGGCACAUAACCAGCCCCAGCAACCAAGUUUUUGUGUCCCUGGAGGAAGGAGAACAGCGGGAGGGACAGA
rnacentral:lncRNA from 10 species